rnacentral:rRNA from 1 species
GGGAAAGGCGAAAAGAACCCCUGUGAGGGGAGUGAAAUAGAUCCUGAAACCGCAUGCAUACAAGCAGUGGGAGCCACUUCGUGUGGUGACUGCGUACCUUUUGUAUAAUGGGUCAGCGACUUAUAUUCAGUAGCAAGGUUAACCGUAUAGGGGAGCCGUAGGGAAACCGAGUCUUAAUAGGGCGUUUAGUUGCUGGGUAUAGACCCGAAACC